ACACUCUGAUUCCACUUCAAGACGCGUAAAUCUUUCGCCUUCUGCUAAAGAUAUCCGUGUAUGGGUACAAUAAAUAGUACACUGUAUUAGGUUUUGCUUGACAAUGUUUCGAAGUCG